UGAGUAACCUGCCCUUCACUCUGGGAUGACUCCGGGAAACCGGGGCUAAUACUGGAUAUGACUCGAACAGGCAUCUGUUUCGGGUGGAAAGAUUUAUUGGUGGAGGAUGGACUCGCGGCCUAUCAGCUUGUUGGUGAGGUAAUGGCUCACCAAGGCGACGACGGGUAGCCGGCCUGAGAGGGUGACCGGCCACACUGGGACUGAGACACGGCCCAGACUCCGUACGGGAGCA
rnacentral:rRNA from 1 species